rnacentral:rRNA from 1 species
AGUGAACGCUGGCGGUAGGCCUAACAUAUGCAAGUCGAACGGCAGCACAGUAAGAGCUUGCUCUUACGGGUGGCGAGUGGCGGACGGGUGAGGAAUACAUCGGAAUCUACUUUUUCGUGGGUGAUAACGUAGGGAAACUUACGCUAAUACCGCAUACGACCUACGGGUGAAAGCAGGGGAUCUUCGGACCUUGCGCGAUUGAAUGAGCCGAUGUCGGAUUAGCUAGUUGGCGGGGUAAAGGCCCACCAAGGCGACGAUCCGUAGCUGGUCUGAGAGGAUGAUCAGCCACACUGGAACUGAGACACGGUCCAGACUCCUACGGGAGGCAGCAGUGGGGAAUAUUGGACAAUGGGCGCAAGCCUGAUCCAGCCAUACCGCGUGGGUGAAGAAGGCCUUCGGGUUGUAAAGCCCUUUUGUUGGGAAAGAAAAGCAGCAGGUUAAUACCCCGCUGUUCUGACGGUACCAAAAGAAUAAGCACCGGCUAACUUCGU